rnacentral:tRNA from 1 species
CAUUAGAUGACUGAAAGCAAGUGUAGAUCUUUUAAAUCUAUUAUAGCAACCGCGGCUGCUUCUGAUGACCA